AAACGAAGACCACGGUCCACGAGGUCGCAACCACCACCAACAACGACCAUGGCUAAGAAGGUCAUUGCAAAGCGCCAGAGAAAGCCCUUUUCCUGCGGAGAAGCAAUAGGAGGAUCGACAGCGGAGAAGGCGUCUUCCGUCGUUUUCCAGUGGAGAAGCAAGAUGAAGGAGAAGGCGUUUUCUGGCGGAGAAGCAAUUGAUGACGACCAUGGCUCGUCCUGGCGUCACGAAUGCCGACGGAGAAGGCGUUUUCCGAUCCAUGGAGAAGCAAUCGGAGGAUCGAUGCUCGCGGAUUCGCAAAGCUCGGAUGCGCAUAAGCAGAUUUACUUAUCGUAGUGUUUUUAUGAGAAAGUGGUGAAUGAUGCCAGCUAAAUCUAAAGAUGAAGAUCCAAUAUAGAACACGGUGCCCAAACUGUGCUGGAAUCAACUAUCUACGCCCAACCUUGGUGGCGUGGAGUGGGGAACAGUUCAUCGUCAGGUGAAAGUGCUCCAGCAUCAUCUUUGGUGGAUCAUCGUGAUAGUAUGGUCAUGAAUGGAGCUAUGCAGUCACAAGCUAAUGCUAGGCUGGAUGGUGGAGCCAACUUCAACAAAGAAUUGCGGACUACAAUAGGAUCACAGUCUGGUAGUUACUUUUGCAUUAUCAUUUCCCAUGGGAAAAUUUCAUGUGACUUCUUUUUCUGAAUAGGAAAUUUUCACACUUGCUACUAUAUGAAAUUAACUAUAAAGUAAUCAUUAUGAGAAACCUUUCUUUAAAAAAAA